rnacentral:misc_RNA from 1 species
UUUCCGUAGGUGAACCUGCGGAAGGAUCAUUAAAGAUUCGACCCUUGGGUCUAUCUUCUCUUCAGCUGUGCGCUUUGGCUGCACGCUGUUGAACUUCACACACCUGUGCACACUUCGGUUGUGACUAGUUAACUCUAGUCGCUUCCGCUUUUACAUUUAACAACCAAGUCUAGAAUGUCAAAUACAAUAAAAUAACAACUUUUAACAACGGAUCUCUUGGCUCUCGCAUCGAUGAAGAACGCAGC